UAGCUUUGACAAUUUUAUGUAACUUGUGAUUGGUACAUUAUGAACACCCAUGAGCUGAGUUGAGCUAACCUGGAGCUGAGUUGCAGCUUUGGACUCUAUUUCGUCUUCGCUUGCCAAUUGCUCCUCCUCCAACCACUCAUCUUUGCCCUAGGUGCUCAAGGCCAUGCGAGAGUUGGAUUCUACUAAACCUGCCAUUUUUGCUAUGUCAAAUCCAACAUUGAAUGCUGAAUGCAUUGCUGUUGAUGUUUUCAAGCAUGCUAGAGAACAUAUAGUUUUUGCAAGUGGGAGUCCUUUUAAACAUGUUGACCUUGGUAUUGUUUCUUUCUCUUGAUGAUAACUUAUUAUGAAGUGUUUUGGCACAAUCUGCCAUCACUUUUUGCCGAUCCUGGGUUCGCCGAGAGGGCAGCGAAGUUUUCCUACUUCGGAAGUCGGAGUUUCAAUGGAAGAACGAGCCAAUUGGGUUUGAACAAUGG